GAACGUCUUCAGGGCGGGGUGCGAUUCCCCACCGGCGGUAGGCAUGCGCACGCAUGUGAGCCCGCGAGCGCUUCGUUGCGACGCUCGGCGCUGCAUGUGCCGGGUACCGCGCGAAGGUCAGCAGAUCCGGUCCGACGCCGGAGCCGACGGUAUAGUCCGGAUGAAAGAAGACGGCC
rnacentral:ncRNA from 2 species